rnacentral:rRNA from 1 species
UGGCUCAGGAUGAACGCUGGCGGCGUGCCUAAUACAUGCAAGUCGAACGCACAGCGAAAGGUGCUUGCACCUUUCAAGUGAGUGGCGAACGGGUGAGUAACACGUGGACAACCUGCCUCAAGGCUGGGGAUAACAUUUGGAAACAGAUGCUAAUACCGAAUAAAACUUAGUGUCGCAUGACAAAAAGUUAAAAGGCGCUUCGGCGUCACCUAGAGAUGGAUCCGCGGUGCAUUAGUUAGUUGGUGGGGUAAAGGCCUACCAAGACAAUGAUGCAUAGCCGAGUUGAGAGACUGAUCGGCCACAUUGGGACUGAGACACGGCCCAAACUCCUACGGGAGGCUGCAGUAGGGAAUCUUCCACAAUGGGCGAAAGCCUGAUGGAGCAACGCCGCGUGUGUGAUGAAGGCUUUCGGGUCGUAAAGCACUGUUGUAUGGGAAGAACAGCUAGAAUAGGAAAUGAUUUUAGUUUGACGGUACCAUACCAGAAAGGGACGGCUAAAUACGUGCCAGCAGCCGCGGUAAUACGUAUGUCCCGAGCGUUAUCCGGAUUUAUUGGGCGUAAAGCGAGCGCAGACGGUUUAUUAAGUCUGAUGUGAAAGCCCGGAGCUCAACUCCGGAAUGGCAUUGGAAACUGGUUAACUUGAGUGCAGUAGAGGUAAGUGGAACUCCAUGUGUAGCGGUGGAAUGCGUAGAUAUAUGGAAGAACACCAGUGGCGAAGGCGGCUUACUGGACUGCAACUGAC